rnacentral:rRNA from 1 species
GUGCAGCAGGCGCGCAACCUUUACAAUGCACGAAAGUGUGAUAAGGGUAAUCCAAGUGCUCAUACAUUGUAUGGGCUUUUGCCAAGUGUAAAUAACUUGGCGAAUAAGGGGUGGGUAAGACUGGUGCCAGCCGCCGCGGUAACACCAGCGCCCCGAGUGGGAGCCGUUUUUAUUGGGCCUAAAGCGUCCGUAGCAGGUCAUGCAAAUCUCUCGUGAAAUUGUCGGGCUUAACUUGACAACGUGCGGGAAACACUACAUGACUCGGGACCGGGAGGAGUGAGAGGUAUUCUGGGGGGAGCGGUAAAAUGCUAUAAUCCUCGGAGGACCACCGAUGGCGAAGGCAUCUCACCAGAACGGAUCCGACUGUGAGGGACGAAAGUCAGGGGAGCAAACCGGAUUAGAUACCCGAGUAGUCCUGACCGUAAACGCUGCGAGCUAGGUGUUACGUAAACUUCGUGUUUGCGUAGUAUCGAAGCGAAGGCGAUAAGCUCGCCGCCUGGGAAGUAUGGUCGCAAGGCUGAAACUUAAAGGAAUAGGCGGGGGAGCACUACAAGGGGUGCGGCGUGCGGUUUAAUCUAACUCAACACAGAGAAUCUCACCAGGAGCGACGGCAGGAUGAAAGUCAGAUUAAAGGUUUUACUUGACGAGCCGAGAGGAAGUGCAUGGCC